GACGAACGCUGGCGGCGUGCUUAACACAUGCAAGUCGAACGGAAAGGCCCUGCUUUUGUGGGGUGCUCGAGUGGCGAACGGGUGAGUAACGCGUGAGUAACCUGCCCUUGACUUUGGGUUAACUUCAGGAAACUGGGGCUAAUACCGGAUAGGAGCUCCUGCUGCAUGGUGGGGGUUGGAAAGUUUCGGCGGUUGGGGAUGGACUCGCGGCUUAUCAGCUUGUUGGUGGGGUAGUGGCUUACCAAGGCUUUGACGGGUAGCCGGCCUGAGAGGGUGACCGGCCACAUUGGGACUGAGAUACGGCCCAGACUCCUACGGGAGGCAGCAGUGGGGAAUAUUGCACAAUGGGCGGAAGCCUGAUGCAGCAACGCCGCGUGCGGGAUGACGGCCUUCGGGUUGUAAACCGCUUUCGCCUGUGACGAAGCGUGAGUGACGGUAAUGGGUAAAGAAGCACCGGCUAACUACGUG
rnacentral:rRNA from 1 species